UGGGGAAUCUUGCGCAAUGGGCGAAAGCCUGACGCAGCCAUGCCGCGUGAAUGAUGAAGGUCUUAGGAUUGUAAAAUUCUUUCACCGGGGACGAUAAUGACGGUACCCGGAGAAGAAGCCCCAGCUAACUUCGUGCCAGCAGCCGCGGUAAUACGAAGGGGGCUAGCGUUGCUCGGAAUUACUGGGCGUAAAGGGAGCGUAGGCGGACAUUUAAGUCAGGGGUGAAAUCCCGGGGCUCAACCUCGGAAUUGCCUUUGAUACUGGGUGUCUUGAGUGUGAGAGAGGUAUGUGGAACUCCGAGUGUAGAGGUGAAAUUCGUAGAUAUUCGGAAGAACACCAGUGGCGAAGGCGACAUACUGGCUCAUUACUGACGCUGAGGCUCGAAAGCGUGGGGAGCAAACAGGAUUAGAUACCCUGGUAGUCCACGCCGUAAACGAUGAUUUGCUAGUUGUCGGGAUGCAUGCAUUUCGGUGACGCAGCUAACGCAUUAAGCAAUCCGCCUGGGGAGUACGGUCGCAAGAUU
rnacentral:rRNA from 1 species